UUAAGCGACUAAGCGUACACGGUGGAUGCCCUGGCAGUCAGAGGCGAUGAAGGACGUGCUAAUCUGCGAUAAGCGUCGGUAAGGUGAUAUGAACCGUUAUAACCGGCGAUUUCCGAAUGGGGAAACCCAGUGUGAUUCGUCACACUAUCAUUAACUGAAUCCAUAGGUUAAUGAGGCGAACCGGGGGAACUGAAACAUCUAAGUACCCCGAGGAAAAGAAAUCAACCGAGAUUCCCCCAGUAGCGGCGAGCGAACGGGGAGCAGCCCAGAGCCUGAAUCAGUGUGUGUGUUAGUGGAAGCGUCUGGAAAGGCGUGCGAUACAGGGUGACAGCCCCGUACACAAAAAUGCACAUACUGUGAGCUCGAUGAGUAGGGCGGGACACGUGGUAUCCUGUCUGAAUAUGGGGGGACCAUCCUCCAAGGCUAAAUACUCCUGACUGACCGAUAGUGAACCAGUACCGUGAGGGAAAGGCGAAAAGAACCCCGGCGAGGGGAGUGAAAAAGAACCUGAAACCGUGUACGUACAAGCAGUGGGAGCACGCUUAGGCGUGUGACUGCGUACCUUUUGUAUAAUGGGUCAGCGACUUAUAUUCUGUAGCAAGGUUAACCGAAUAGGGGAGCCGAAGGGAAACCGAGUCUUAACUGGGCGUUAAGUUGCAGGGUAUAGACCCGAAACCCGGUGAUCUAGCCAUGGGCAGGUUGAAGGUUGGGUAACACUAACUGGAGGACCGAACCGACUAAUGUUGAAAAAUUAGCGGAUGACUUGUGGCUGGGGGUGAAAGGCCAAUCAAACCGGGAGAUAGCUGGUUCUCCCCGAAAGCUAUUUAGGUAGCGCCUCGUGAAUUCAUCUCCGGGGGUAGAGCACUGUUUCGGCAAGGGGGUCAUCCCGACUUACCAACCCGAUGCAAACUGCGAAUACCGGAGAAUGUUAUCACGGGAGACACACGGCGGGUGCUAACGUCCGUCGUGAAGAGGGAAACAACCCAGACCGCCAGCUAAGGUCCCAAAGUCAUGGUUAAGUGGGAAACGAUGUGGGAAGGCCCAGACAGCCAGGAUGUUGGCUUUAGAAGCAGCCAUCAUUUAAAGAAAGCGUAAUAGCUCACUGGUCGAGUCGGCCUGCGCGGAAGAUGUAACGGGGCUAAACCAUGCACCGAAGCUGCGGCAGCGACGCUUAUGCGUUGUUGGGUAGGGGAGCGUUCUGUAAGCCUGUGAAGGUGUGCUGUGAGGUAUGCUGGAGGUAUCAGAAGUGCGAAUGCUGACAUAAGUAACGAUAAAGCGGGUGAAAAGCCCGCUCGCCGGAAGACCAAGGGUUCCUGUCCAACGUUAAUCGGGGCAGGGUGAGUCGACCCCUAAGGCGAGGCCGAAAGGCGUAGUCGAUGGGAAACAGGUUAAUAUUCCUGUACUUGGUGUUACUGCGAAGGGGGACGGAGAAGGCUAUGUUGGCCGGGCGACGGUUGUCCCGGUUUAAGCGUGUAGGCUGGUUUUCCAGGCAAAUCCGGAAAAUCAAGGCCGAGGCGUGAUGACGAGGCACUACGGUGCUGAAGCAACAAAUGCCCUGCUUCCAGGAAAAGCCUCUAAGCAUCAGGUAACAUCAAAUCGUACCCCAAACCGACACAGGUGGUCAGGUAGAGAAUACCAAGGCGCUUGAGAGAACUCGGGUGAAGGAACUAGGCAAAAUGGUGCCGUAACUUCGGGAGAAGGCACGCUGAUACGUAGGUGAAGCGACUUGCUCGUGGAGCUGAAAUCAGUCGAAGAUACCAGCUGGCUGCAACUGUUUAUUAAAAACACAGCACUGUGCAAACACGAAAGUGGACGUAUACGGUGUGACGCCUGCCCGGUGCCGGAAGGUUAAUUGAUGGGGUUAGCGCAAGCGAAGCUCUUGAUCGAAGCCCCGGUAAACGGCGGCCGUAACUAUAACGGUCCUAAGGUAGCGAAAUUCCUUGUCGGGUAAGUUCCGACCUGCACGAAUGGCGUAAUGAUGGCCAGGCUGUCUCCACCCGAGACUCAGUGAAAUUGAACUCGCUGUGAAGAUGCAGUGUACCCGCGGCAAGACGGAAAGACCCCGUGAACCUUUACUAUAGCUUGACACUGAACAUUGAGCCUUGAUGUGUAGGAUAGGUGGGAGGCUUUGAAGUGUGGACGCCAGUCUGCAUGGAGCCGACCUUGAAAUACCACCCUUUUAAUGUUUGAUGGUUCUAACGUGGACCCGUGAUCCGGGUUGCGGACAGUGUCUGGUGGGUAGUUUUGACUUGGGGCGGUCUCCUCCUAAAGAGUAACGGAGGAGCACGAAGGUUGGCUAAUCCUGGUCGGACAUCAGGAGGUUAGUGCAAUGGCAUAAGCCAGCUUGACUGCGAGCGUGACGGCGCGAGCAGGUGCGAAAGCAGGUCAUAGUGAUCCGGUGGUUCUGAAUGGAAGGGCCAUCGCUCAACGGAUAAAAGGUACUCCGGGGAUAACAGGCUGAUACCGCCCAAGAGUUCAUAUCGACGGCGGUGUUUGGCACCUCGAUGUCGGCUCAUCACAUCCUGGGGCUGAAGUAGGUCCCAAGGGUAUGGCUGUUCGCCAUUUAAAGUGGUACGCGAGCUGGGUUUAGAACGUCGUGAGACAGUUCGGUCCCUAUCUGCCGUGGGCGCUGGAGAACUGAGGGGGGCUGCUCCUAGUACGAGAGGACCGGAGUGGACGCAUCACUGGUGUUCGGGUUGUCAUGCCAAUGGCACUGCCCGGUAGCUAAAUGCGGAAGAGAUAAGUGCUGAAAGCAUCUAAGCACGAAACUUGCCCCGAGAUGAGUUCUCCCUGACCCUUUAAGGGUCCUGAAGGAACGUUGAAGACGACGACGUUGAUAGGCCGGGUGUGUAAGCGCAGCGAUGCGUUGAGCUAACCGGUACUAAUGAACCGUGAGGCUUAACCUU
rnacentral:rRNA from 1 species